rnacentral:misc_RNA from 1 species
GCAUUACUCUUUCCUCAUAGUUCUUUCCCUGUCCAUACAGAUCACAGCGCGUUGUUUGGAUAUCAUAGGCUGCAAUUUCUCGUCCGUAGUGGUCAGCCAAUAUUGAAAGCUCUAUGGCCCCUCCCCAUUUCUCUGGGUUAAGAAUCCAAUCACAAUACUCCUUGUUGGACUUCCCAAGAAAGGCAUCAGAAUAUUUUUCUGGAUCACUGGCAACUGUUCCAGCUAUAACCUGUCUUAGCUCAGGGGCUUUGUUUCUAUCACGGUCCAUCACAUAACCAACAGCAUUAAAAAGACAACUGUUAUCAGAUGGAAUCACUCUUCUUACUACUGAACCUUCCAUCUUCAACCAGAAAACAGGGAAUUGCUUUAAUUCGACAACAAUUGAAAGUGGAAAGACGAGUUAUG